AUCAUCACGUGACCAUCUUCCGCCUCACCACGGUCACAGGUGAUAGGGGUUUCUGUGUACCUGUGGCACGUGUGCGUUUGGAAACACGCAUUACAAUGGAGUAUUUCCAAGAUAUAUGAAUAUGGCAUCAAGGGAAACUACAUUUUGGAGUAUUUUAUGGAGGUUAUGUGACUGCAGCAAAAACCAUGAAGGACCAGGUAGACUGGAGCACAGGCGGAAGAGUUUCUGGUAGCUGUUGCAGAGCCGGGAGGAUGUGACAUUUUUUAAAAGUUGGACAUCACAUUUCUGGCACUGUAUAUUGGCUUUUGCUGCUCACGUUAAGGGACGCCACAGCAAAUCAACCAACUCCAUACCACCAUGUCCUAUAUAUCAACCACCUGCAUGUCUUUCCUCAACACAUCCGUCUCUGUAGACGUCUUCCCCCUCUCCUUCUUCUCCUUUGGCCAACAGUCAUACCUCAUACCCUUAUUUAUUACAUUGCCACUUGUAAAUAAGCUAUCUAUGCACUUCUGGUUGGAUGCUAACUGCAUUUCAUUGGCUCUGUACAUGUACCUUGCACAAUGACAAUAAAGUUGAAUCUAAUCUAA